ensembl:lncRNA
GACCAUCCAGGAGCCGAGGAAUCUUCUAAUGAAGAAAUUGUAAAGCCCUGCAACAGAUGUGCGAGUGCAGUAGAUGGGGCCCGUGACAGGAGGAGCCACGCUGUGACCUGCUGCCCACCGCCACUUACACACAACCCCUCACAGAAGGAGAAACUCUCCAUUGAGCUCCAGGACAGCAGACCCACGGGAGCCGGCGCUUGGCUAACACCAGCAAAUAGGAUGAAAUUAUUGUGUAAUGACGUGUGGGCUUUGGUGCAGUCUGCAUAUUACACCACAGGACCAAAGGCCAGAUUGAGAGAAACAGUAAGUCUGCAGAGAAGCGGCCUGCAGUAACCCUGUUCUGUGCUCUUUUGGCAGAAAAGCCGUUUUAGAAAAAUUGGGGUUUAGGAAAUAAUGUGCCUUUGAAGUAGGAGGCACAUACAUAUGUAUCAGAGUUUAAGCAGACUUGUUGAAAAAAAAAAAGGAAGAAAUAUAUAUAAUGUGACCCUUAAGUCUUUAAAGAGCAAGGUUAAGGACAAGGACAGCAAGAAUUGCAUUUAUUAAUGCAUUUUUGUUUUUUAGUGUCUUUCCACAUAAAGUAAAAAAAAAAUACAGUGGCUAUUUCAGAACCAUUUUUGCGCUUGACUAGACGUUACUGAACACUAAUAGACAAGUGUUUUGUCUUUCUGCUAUGCACUGAGAAAGAAAAAAGGAAAGAAUGACAGAAAAAUCUAUCGGUGUGAAAUUGCUUUGCCUGCUCUGGGAGGCUGCGUUUUGAAAGGGCCCGUGUGUUGAUGAUAAUUGCAGAGUGUGGGCCUGAUUAUUCCAGCCACAUGCUUUCUGUUAACUGACAGAAUAAUUACACACUGGGCUUAAUGGCUCUCCCGAAGAGAAAGAGUGAGAGAGGACUGAAUGAUUGCUCUGGAUGCGUGAGGAAUUCUGAUCGCGUCCGACGAGUGAGUCGCUGAGGAAUCCCAAACAUCUCUAAUGCUUGUGAGUGCAGUCUCUUAUGGGUUGUGUGUACAACCUCCCCAGAUAAAGGAGGAAACUUAUUGGCUGGUUAUGAAGUCAGGUACUGGUGAGCAUAUAUAAGAUGUAAGACGUUGAUGUGGAGUCUGGAGUCAGGAUCCUGGAUGUCACUGAGGAUGUAAGAAAUACGUGGAGAAGAUGACAUGGAUUUUCUUGGCAGAGGAAGGCUAAAACCAGGGAAUGACUUGGAAUCAGGGCGUCUUUGUUUUUGUUUUUUUCUGAAUUAAAAUUAGCUUUGAUAUUUCUGGGGGCAUGUAGUCAAAAAUAUCAGGGUGGUAUAACCUGUACUUUGCAACAAGUACUUUAUAAUUUUAUUAUUAUUAUUUCGUAUUUUUUCAUUUCUCAGUUUAUAUCUCACAAUUCUGAGAAACAAAGUCAGAAUAGUGAGAUGUAAACUCACAAAUGCAAGAAAAAAGUCAGAAUUGUGAGAUAAAAUGUCACAAUUACCUUUUUUUUAUUCAAUGGAAGAAACAGGUUUCCAUAUGAAGCAGUUUUGUUACAGUUUAAUAAAUUAUGGAGUGUUUAAUUUUCCUUAAAUAAA